GCUCAACCCCUUGAUGUCCGCAAUCGUCCAUCCCAUGGCUUCUUUAUGCUCCUUCAACACCUUGAGGAGUUGCUCUUCUCCAGAUUCGGUUAAGUGAGUUGAAAAAUGAUGACCGGAAGAGUCUUGUUGUUUCCUAAGUACGCUUACUUCAAAUGUUGUGGAAGGACCUUCAAUUCUAAUUCUGGUGGUUGAACAAGGGAGGGUGGCAAUCUUGUGUGAGUUUGAGGUAAUUCAAUUUGCUUCACACUAAAUUGAGUGGUCUUCUUGAUCUCUAGAUUGUUAACCAAUCUUUCAACUUCGAGGUCUAGUGAGUAGAGCUUCAACUUCUUGGCUAACUUUCCACAAUCAUACCCUUUUCUCAAAACCAUCUCCAACAUGUCAUCAUUAGACAACUCGAACAACUCUUGGGUUAAUGGUUCAAUAACAUCAACAAAACACAAGGAUGAAACAUCAUAGGAUAUCUCAUAGCAUCAUAAAUGUUAAAACUUAUUAUUUCACCAUCAAACUCCAUUGUUAAGCUUCCCGCAUACACAUCAAUCUUUGUUCUAUCUGUCUUCAAGAAUGGUCUCCCAAGUAAAAUUAUACCCGACUUUGAGGACACUUGUUCAUUUAGAUCAAUCACAUAGAAAUCCGUCGGGAAGACCAGUUGGUUUACUUACACUAGGACAUCUUCCAAAACAACUCUAGGAAAGACACUUGAUUUAUCCGCAAGAGAGAUUAUGACACCGGUUUCACUUAAAGGUCCAACAUUCAAUGAUUCAUACACCGAACAUGGCAUGAAAUUAAUAGAAGCACCAAGGUCAAGCAUGACACUACUAAAAGUGACAUCUCCUAUCUUGCAAGGAACCGUAAACAUUCCCGGAUCUUUGCACUUGGGUGGAAGCUUCCUUUGUAAAACCACGAAUGCAUUUUCGUUCAUUGAAAUUUUCUCAUUUCCCUUCAAUUUCUCUUGUUGGUACAAAGUUCUUUCAAAAACUUUGCAUAUCUUGGGAUUUGCUUAAUUGCAUCAAGUAGAGGGAUGUUUACUUCCACCUUUCGGAAGGUGUCCAAAAUCUCUUUCUCCUCCAUUUUCUUCUUUGAAGUUGCAAGUCGGGAGGGGAAUGGCGGUUGAGUGGCUAUUGGAGUCACUAGACGGGUUGUCUUCUUUAGGGCUCCGGCUUGUGCAUCAUUCUUUACUAUAGAUUCUUAAAUGGGAAUGACUUCUAUUUCUUCCUCUUCAUCCCUUGGCUUCUUCUUUGAACUACUUUCCCCGGUUUGUUUGCCACUUCUCAAGGUCACCACAUUGCCAUUUGGGUUCUUUUCAGUUUGGGAAGGGAGUUUACCACGGGACUACAACUGCUUAUGGAUGUGACUAUAUCUCCCAUUUGUGCUUCAAGGUUGGAGAUACUAGUUCUUGUCUCUUUUUGGAAUUGUUGGGUACUAGUAGCUAAGGAUUUGACAAUUUCUUCAAGAGACAUUCCGGAGUUACUUAGUUGGGAUUGAGGAGGUUGUUGGUGAUGUUGUGGAGGGUGCGGUUUGGGUUGAUAAUGUGGUUGUGGAUGUUGGUAGUGAGGUUGUGGUGGUGUAUAGGAUGGUAUAACCAAUGCAUUUUGAGGCAAUGGUCUUGGGUUGUAGCUCAUGUUGGGAUUUGGCUUCCAACUCUAAUUAUAUGGAUUUUGAUAACCGGGUGGCUUGUUGUGGUAGUUUUGGAAUUCUCCCGUGGCAUUUACAUGUUCCGCAUCUUCUUGAAGAAUGGGGCACAUAUUCGUAGGAUGUCCCAUUGUUGCACAUAUUCCACAAACCAUCACUUGUGGAGUUUGUCCCAUGGCUAGCUUUUGGACAACGGAGGUUAGAUCUUUGAUUUGAGACUCGAGGUUCGAUGAUCCCACUUCAUUUACUUUGUGUUGUGUGUCUCUUUUCAUAUUUUGGCGCGGGCCAAAAUGUUGAGAAUUCGCGACUAUGGUGUUGAAAAGUUGUCUUGUUUGUUGUGAGGUUUUACUAAAGACAUCACCAUCACUUGAGGCAUCAACUAGUCUCCUCUCCAUUGGCAACAAUCCCUCAUAGAAGUGUUGAAUGAGGAGUUGUUCCGGAAUUUGGUGUUGUGGGCAACUAUAACACAAAUUGUUGAACCUCUCCCAAUAAUCAUGAAAAGUCUCAUUUUGACCUAGGCGGAUUCCACAAAUCUCAUUUCUAAGACUUGAGACUCUUGAAGCGGGAUAGAACUUAUCAAGAAAAGCUCUUGCCAUUUCGGUCCAUGAGUUGAUCGACCCCGAAGGAAGAUAGAAUAACCAAUCCUUUGCUCUAUCGGCCAAUGAAAAGGGGAAUGCCCUUAGCUUGAUUUGGUCAUCGGUUGACCCUUGUAGCUUCAUGCUAGUGCAAAUAAUGUAAAACAUCUUCAAAUGCUUACGUGGGUCUUCGUUCUCUAAUCCAUGAAAAGUUGGGAGGUGAUGGACUAAACUUGACUUCAAUUCCGAACCUCCUUCCAAAACCGGGUAGUUGAUACCGAUUGGAGUUUGUGUAACAUCAGUUUCCAUCAUUUGCCUCAAAGUUCUUUCAGGAGCUUCUCAUCCGUCCGCCAUUGUAAUUGGUUCAAUAAUGGGUGGAUUUUGUUGUAGAGGUGGUGUUUCGGGAAUUUCUUGGCGAGGGUCGGUACUAGAUUCGGGUUCCGUAUCACUUGAUGAAGCGGGUUCAACCUCCGGAUCCCCAUGAGGAUUAGAAGUUUGACCAUGUUUAAUUCGCUUUUCCUUCGCCAAACGCCUUGCUUCUUUUUCAAUUUCCGGGUUGUAAAUCAAGUCACCUGUACGCUGAGAUCUGGGCAUAGAGAAACAGAUUGAUUAAAAAUAAACCAAUUCCCGGCAACGGCGCCAAAAUUUGGUGGUCGUCGAGGCCAACAAAAUAAAUACCCUAAAUACUACACACUACAAUAGUGUAUAGUGGUAAAGGGAUCGUAUCCACGGAGAUUGGUUCAAUUUAAAUCUCUAUGUAAAUGACUUGUUCAAGUACUAGUAAAACAUAAAUAAAAGUAAAAUAGGGGGGUUAGUUCUUUUUGAUUGGUUGACAAAGUUAAAACUAGCUAAAAUGUAAAUAUGACAAGUAAACAAGUAAAAGAUUUGAUUAAAUUCAAUGAAGUGAAAUUGGUUGAUUUUGGGUACACCACAUGGAUGACAUGGUUGACUUAUAAUUAGACCAAAUGGAAUAACACUUAUGAAUUGGUUUAACUUGGCUAUAGCAAUUCAUAAGCACAAAUUACCUCAACUAUUCUUAAAUAUUAAAAUGGAUAGAGGAGCUCUUAAUACAUUUCCUUAAUUAAAGUCACAAAACUAAUGAAACGUAUAAUCUUGUGAAAAUCAAUUAGCUUUAAGUUCUAAGAGUUACCAAGUACAAAAGAUAAUCAAAUGCUUACAUUAUCAUUAUGGAGGAAACAUUUCCAUGGUCUAAAUGAAAUGAAAACAAACAUAUAAACCAUUUGUUGCUUACUAAUUUGAGGGUCCAUUACUUAACCAAGAAAUUAGUCAACAAAAAUAAGCAUUCAUUCAUCUAAGCUCAUGAUCAAAGAUAAAUAAACACAACAAGAUGUUUGACUAUAAAAUAUUUCCAUAAACUUCAAAGACAAGAUAAUAAUAAGUCUUCAAAGCAACUAAUUAUCCAUGGGUUAAACCCUAAUCAACCAAAUGAAAGUUUAGCCAAGCAUGGCCAAAGUAAGAGAACUGUAAUAUAGUUUAGUGGUACUAAACAUUGUUCUAGUUGCAAAAUGGAAAGAAAUUACAGUAAUCUUCAAAACAAAUCUUCAAAUCUUCCAAAGCCUUCUUGGGAGAGAAUGGUAUGUGUUCUUUAAGUCAUCAUAUGCUAUAAUACCUCCACCCUCCAGCAAAAAGGAGUUGGUUUCCGGAUUUAAAAAGGUGCCAAAAGCCUCCCACCAACCUUCCACAAAUAGGGUCAACAAGUUAAAACCCGGCUUCAUUUCAUCAUAAUUCACACAGACCGCGUAUGGGUCCAUGCGGACCGCGUGGGUCACGCUGAAUGUGGGACUUGGGCCAUUUAAAAUACAAUCUAGCCCAAUUUUCUCAUUCACACUUCAUCCCACAUGCAUAGCUCUUUAUAGCUCAUUUGUGCCUUUCCAAAGCCUCUAAUGAUUGAUCCAAUGCUCCUUCAAUCUUCCAUAGCUCGAGUCCGCGUCGCCUCAUCAUCAUUCUUGCUCAAAUAUUAAGUCCAAAUUGAUUUCUUGUUUAUGCUAACACCAAGCUCAAUCGCACCACUUCAGAUCCACAAGCAACUCGCAAGCCUCCAUAAGUCUCACACUCCUUCGAAGCCUCUAAUAACAAAUAGUCUUCGAUAAAUCCUGCAAAUAAGGUUAAAAGACUGGAAAGCACUCGGUAAAGGAGAAAAAUAACAAAAAGAGAAAAUAUGUAUGAAGAUUAACUAAAAUGAGAUGGCUUUAACUAAAAAUAAACUAUGAAAAGAAGUAAUAAAAACGAAACUAUCAGAAGUACUUAAAAUAUAACCCAAAAUUUAGCGUGAUCCCUAAAGUACCAACACACAAACAAAUAACAUAUACACUAACAAUAUGUCAGGUCCAAACCAUGGGUUGGAAUACCCCAGGCCCAUCAACAAUCGGGUUGGAAUGCCAAUAAACUAUGGGUCCAGUCAACCAUCAGAUUAGGAUACCCCAAGCCCAUCAACCAUCGGGUUGGAAUGCCAACAUACAAUGGGUCAUGUCAUCAUAAGGAUGGAAUACCCUCGGACCCGCUCAACCAUCGAGUCGGAAUGCCCCCGGUCUGUUGGCUCACGCACAAAGCAGUAAAGCCUCAACCACCAACCAAAUAUGUGGACAUAUACAUAACAUAUAUAAUCAGCCAACAGAUAAACAAACAGAUCUAUUGAUCACUAAGCAUAGAAACAUCCUAUAUACCAGGAUACAGAUCUAACAGAUCACUACAGCUUGAUAACAUACUAUCGCAUAACAAGAUAUCAAAUCCAAAUGGCUGGUCUUGGUGACUUCGACUCGCAAGUACAGUGAGGAAACCUCACCUCGCAAACUGGACAAAGUUGAUGAGGUCUCGACUCCGAAUGUCAGCUCUCUAACCAACACCUAUUCCAAACAAAUGACCAAUCUCCAUCAAAAUCCCAAAAUUUCCUAAAAUAUCCUUAAGGUUAAACUUGGUCAAAAUCAAAGUCAAAGUCAGCUGGUCGAACCAACUAAGUUAACUGAGUCAACCCAAACGAGUCAACUCAAUCGAAUUGACCUAGUGUAAGUACGCGGGGAGUACUCCGAUGGUACGCAGGGCGUACUCCGUUCUCGCAUGUUGACCACCAUCGGGAUGGUUUACUUCGUACAUAGGGCGUACUCAUAGAAGUCUAAAACUCCAUUAAGAGCUUAAUGCCUUAAGCUCUUACGUCCAUACUUUAGGUCCAUGACUAAAAUACUCUUAGGAGUCAUAAAGUCUCCAACUUUAUGACUUAGCAUGACCAAUAAGUGUUUAGCUCAAGGUCUUUUUCCAUUAAGACCUUCUAAAUGAUGCAUAAAGCAAAACUAACCAUUUGGAACCCAUUUUAUGACUUAAGACCCCUCCUAUGGUCUAAAAGGAUAUCUUAAAGGUCAAGAACAUGCCAUGUUCAAGUUCUAACAUUUUGGGACCAAAAAGCUCCAUAAAGACAUCCAAAACUGGAUCUAUAUGUUAGAGGGAUAAAGCUGCAAGCUUUAUAUAUUAGGAAGGUUGCAAAUGAUGUAGAAAUCCUAGAUCCAAGUGUUUCCCUCCAUGAAGAUGAGCUUGGCUUCCUCCCUUCUUCUUCUAAGGUACCAAAAUACACACUCUAAGCUUGAAAAGGCUCCUCAAGGUGAAACUAUGGUUGCAAGGACGUAUGAGAGGGAUGGAGGCAGAUAAGGUGGAUGAAAUGAGGCCAUACGAGUGCUUAAAUACGAGUCACACCCUAAAAAUUAGGAUUUCCAUAUCUGGCAAGUACGCCUAGCGUACACUGAUGUACGCCCCGCGUACUAGGGCGCGCCCUAGUAUGCUCAAUGUACACGGUAUAUCACGUACGCAUUGCGUACUCCCAAGGCCAAAAUUAAAAAAAAAAUGCCACUAUGGCUCCUUUUGCACACUUUCUUGAACAUAGGGACCAAAAUGCUACAUAAUUAAAUUAUAGGGUUGAAAUCAAAAGUACCUUAUCAUCGGGAUUUUACGUUAGAGCGUGUUAAUAUCUUUUAGUACAAAGAUAGAAUAACAAUCAUGAAUUACAUCAAGUCAUAAUCAAAUUAAACAACAACAUUGAGAACUAGAACUAGAACCAUUCUAACAAACUGUUUACAAAUCUUUUUAGUUUUCCACAUGUUUUCAAAGUAGAUUGUUAUUUACAUUAUUUCAGAUUUUGCAUAUACCCCCCCCCCUUUUUGUGACUAAAGUACCUUGUGCAAAAAGGUAUAGACUUUUAUCCCAUGUCUCUAAGGAUCAACCGUGCUUGCCUCAUACUACUUUAUAGUGCAUUACAAUAAUGUAUUUGGAGUCUAUUGUGCCUAUAUUAUUCAUUGGGUUUGACACACCUAACAUAAACAUUUUGGAACCCUAUGAGGGUGGACGGUUUUGAGAAGUUUCGGAAGGCUUCUGGAACUAUCUCUGGUAGUUGAUAAUGUUAUGAUCUGAAUCUGGAUUAAAUCUGAUUAUUUAAUUGAUUCAAAUCCGUUUUGUCUGCAAGCUACCUCAAGUAUAAUUAGAAUCCUAUGGCCUUUGAGAAAAUUGAUCCAACAUGCUGAAAGGCUUCAGAAUUCGGUUUUGAUAGCGUCCCUCCUCUCUCCUAACUACUAUAUGGUUUUAGUUUUUUGGGUGUGACCCAUUCGAGACAUUCUACUUUGGGUGCUAGUCUUUCCAAGUAAUUGCAAGGAAUUCAAGAUCUUCAAAGGAAUCACAAGUAUAUAAGACUAUACUUGAAAGUUUAAUAAUCCUCUCCCUUUUGAUAGUUAAAAUUCAUAGUUUUGAAGGUAGGCUGCUAUAAUAGUAAAACCUAGAUCUAGGGUGCAGGUACACUUAGGAUUAUUUUUGAAUGCUUCCGUUUCCUACAUCUAAUGUAACGACCCGUCUCCGGUAUGAUGAUUCCUUGGUAUUUAUUUUGAAGUUUUGCAAGAGGGACUCGGCGAGUUCAUAGCCUGACUCGCCGAGUAGGGACGGGAUUUCGAGCACGUGUUAGCUGGCGACUCGGCGAGUCUGUCCGUUUGGGAGAAACCCUAAAUCCCCGGGUUGCCCACUAUUUAAGCCACCUUAUGGCCUCCAUUCUCGCCUCCUUCACCCUCAGAAGCUGUGAGAAAACCCUAAUUCGUUCUUGAGUGAUUCUAAGUGAUUUUGUGUGCAAUUGUGAAGGCUUGAAGAAGGAGAAGAAGAAAGGAGCAAGGAGAAGGAUUGUAGAGCAGAGAUUCAAGGGAAAACAAGAGUUCUUUGAGGUAUUCUUCGGAUUUCCUUCCCUUUUAUGCUUUAAAACCCCCUCUAGAUCUAGUUGAUGCUUUUCUCAAGCCUUAUGUUGAUAUGGAAGCCCUUUUAUGUCAAGAUAUCUUUAGAUCUGUUCAUUUAGGAGUUGUAGAGCCCAUAUCUAUUGCCUUUAUGGAGCUAUUUUGCAUCAUAACCCUAGAUCUACCCUUUAAGUGCCUUUUUAGCCUUUAUUCCCUUGUUCAUGUGUUUGUACACGUAAAGUUGGAAACUUUACGUGGUAAAUCAGCUUAUUGGACUCAGAUCUAUCAUUUGUAUGUUUUGGAUUCGAGCAGAAUCGAGUGUAGAAUAGUUGCAUGGCGGUGACUCGGCGAGUCGGAAGAACGACUCGGCGAGUCGAGUCGCGAGUCCCCGAUUUCUUCCUUUUGAGCGGUGUCGAGUGGGACCAGUGAGUAGUGGAGUGGACUCAGCGAGUUUGAGGGUAGACUCAGUAAUGGAGGGACUCGGCGAGUUGUUCAUACAACUCGGCGAGUCCAAGGCAAUCUUCUUAAGCUCAAGAACAACUCGUCGAGUUGUUCAUAUGACUCGGCGAGUCGGAUGAAGAUUGUCUGAGUUCUUGGAUCGAGAGGGUACUCGUCGAGUCGAUGCCAUACUCGACGAGUAGCAGCGAGUAGGGUCGAGGAGUGAGAAUAGGGACUCGGCGAGUUGGCGGCCCAACUCGGCGAGUCAGGUCAACUGUGGGUUGACUUUGACCGAGAGUUGACUUUGACCAAGGGUAAAAGAGUCAUUUUACCCAGUGCAGUGUUUAGUAUUUGAUUGAGUGUGUUUAUGGACUUGUAGCCGGGGAGAUACCGGAGCAGCAGCAGUUAGCCCUCAGAGCUAUUCACUCAGCAGCCAGUUCACGAGGUGAGUUUCCUUUCAGUAGGAACGGGUCUACGGCCACAAUGCCGGCCCGUUUAAUUAUCAGUAGUUCCGGACUUUGGUCUGAUGCAGUAGCUAGAGUGCUUGAUGUCUUUGUGAUUCAAGCAUAUUUGUGUUAUGUGUUCCGGACUCUGUUCCGAUGCAGUAUGCAGUAUAUGUGAUUAUAAUAGUUGUUAUGUUUUAUGCUAUGCCAUGAUCAGUCAGUUCCGGACUUCGGUCCGAUGCAGUCAGUUCCGGACUUCGGUCCGAUGCAGUUAGUUCCGGACUUCGGUCCGAUGCAGUCAGUUCCGGACUUCGGUCCGAUGCAGUUAGUUCCGGACUCUGGUCCGAUGCAGGGGACAAGGUCCCAGUCAGUUCCGGACUUCGGUCCGAUGCAGCUAGUUCCAGACUUCGGUCUGAUGCAGUGGGCAAGGCCCAGUAUGUGCUUUAUAUGUAUUGUAUGGUAUGUGGUAGUUUGGGGGAGCUCACUAAGCUUCGUGCUUACAGUUUUAGUUUUGGUUUCAGGUACUUCCGCAAGCAGAGGGAAGAGCUCGGGAUGAUGGCAUCGCACACACCACAGCUUCAGCUUUUAUCCUGGGAGUUGAUUUAGUUUUUGAUUUGUUAUGACAUAGAUAUGGUACAGUUUUCCGCACAGUGUUUUGUUAUGUUGAGAUAUAUUACGUAUGGUUUUAUGAUAUGACACUCAGAUUAUGGUUUUUAGUUAUAUUGAAAAAUGAAAUUUUUGGGUCGUAUUUUUGGGUCGUUUCAAGUUGGUAUCAGAGCCCUGGUUUGAGGGAUUCGGAUACACUUCCGGGUGUAUCUGAACUCAAACUAAGGGGAAAUAAAAAGAUUUUUUUAAGGAAAAUGUUUUCUAAAAGAAUUUUGAAAGCACUUAGAAAGAAAGAAAUUUUUAAACAAGAUAAGGGUGUGGUGCAUGCGAUCAGCCGAGCUCAAGUAAGUACUCCCAAAUUAUCCAUACAAGUUAUUUGUUCAGUUUCAGUUUCAGUAGAACAGCAUGCUAGUAUAGGACUAAGGAUCUAGGAGGAUGCCUUAUGUGCCUGCUUUAUGUGUUACAGCUUUAUGAGUAUUGCAUGCUAGUAUUGAGUAGACAGCAGUAGGAUAGCCUGUUUAGGUUAUGCCUGAUAGUAUGAGCUUAGCACUGUAUGCUAGAUCAGUUUCUCAUUUUGAGAAUAGUUUUGCCUGAGUAUGUUUCCUUUAUCCGAAUGCUGCCUGCUUCGUGCUUUGUGGGAAUUCUGAGUGAUGGAAGUUAGCCAUUAGGUGAACACGAUACACCACAUGUGAUCAGGGUUGAAUAAUCCCAGAGUGCUGGAACUGACCCUAUUGCGCAGCUCUUGUUUGAGUCCAACCGUUAUAGGGACGGGUCUUUUACUUGAAGGAUUAUCUGAUCUUCGUCACAUGUGAUGGUGUUCAGGUGAUGGUUAAUUAGCAUUAUAAGGAGACCUGCAGCAGCUGAGGACUAGUUGAGUUGAGUCUGAGGUUUCCCUGGGGCAAGCCUAGGAUGAGAGUAGCAGAGAUCAGUAGUAGUAGAAGUGACUUGGUGGAGUCAGGGCAGUUCUUGAAGAAAGUACGGAUAGAUGUGGAAGGUAGUAUGGGCCCGUACUACUGGAAGCAGAGGAUCCGUACUCGAAUCAAGAAAGGCUGAGACAAGACCAGGAAGCUAGUUGUAGUAUCAAUGAUCCCUCAAGAUAUUUCUGUUUUCUGAUGUAGUUGUGAUGUGUUUCAGAAUGGUGGUUUUGCGUUCGAGACCAGCAGCCGGCAGCGGAGGUGCCGGGGAGGGAUCAGGUUCAGGCUCGGGGGAUGAGCGCAUGGAUGAGCAGACCCGAGAGUUUCUUUCUUCGGAGAUUACGCGCAUCAUUAUAGAGCAGACUCCUGUGAUCUUCGGUUCGAUCAAGGAGGGGAUUCUAGAGCUGAUGGAUGAGAGACUGGGCACCUUCCGUGCCGAGGUGGCGGCCAUGAUGGGGUCGCGCACCCUUACCUUCAGGGAGUUCAGGGCAUGUGGAGCCCCGGACUAUCAUGGGGCGCGGGACCCCAUAGCGAGCACCAGAUGGUUGGCAGAUGUGGCCAACGCUUUCCGUACUAGCAGAUGUCCCGAGGGGGACAAGGUCAGAUUGGCGUCCUGUCUUCUGAAGGACAGGGCACGAGAUUGGUGGGAGGAGGUCGGGCAUGCCAUUGGGGAUGAUGCAGCAUUGGACGCCAUGACCUGGGCUGAUUUCUCUACCAGGUUCAGGGCGGAGUUUGCACCGGUCAUUGAGGUGCAACAGCUAGCUAGGGAGUUUCAGGACCUCACCCAGACUACAGAGACAGUGGCGGAGAUCACCGCCAAGUUCAGGGAGAGGGCUCUUCUCGUUCCUCAGUAUGUAGCUGAUGAGGAAAUGAAGAAGGCCCGUUAUCAUGAGAUGUUGCGGAGCGAUAUCCGCCAGUUUGUGAGCCGGUCCAGCUGUAAAACGCUGGAAGAUAUGAUUGCUAGAGCUCGGGAGAGGGAGAUUGAUCUCGAGAUGGAGAAGAAGAGGAAACCGGAGGCGGUUUCGGGUUCAGGCAGUUCGGGCAAAAAGCCCAAGGUUUCAGAUCACAGAUCUAGGAGUCAGCAGAGCCACGGUCGAUGUGGCAAGUGUGGGAGAUUGCACGAGGGAGCGUGCAAGGCAGGGAGUUCCGGCUGCUACAAGUGCGGUCGGAUUGGGCAUUUGAGUAGGGAUUGUACGGCCCCUGCUACUGCCGUCGCAGCAUCAGAUCUGAUUUGCUUUCAGUGCAAUCAGAGGGGACAUAAAAAGUCCCAGUGUCCGAGUUUAGCUGCAGCAGGGAAGGUGGCUGCACCUGCCCCUGCUACCUUGAGGAUUACAGAUGGCCGGCAGGGCCGAGCUGAUGCGCCAGUGGCGAAGAGUAGGGCGUUUCAGAUGACAGCAGAGGAGGCGCGAGCGACUCCUGAUGUGGUGACGGGUAUGUAUCUUCCCUUUUAUCUCUUUAUUAUUAUUGAUUAAAUGUUGCUUAUGAUUGUAUGUUUUAUUCAGGGUCGUUCUCUGUGAACGGCAUUUCUGCUUUGGUAUUAUUCGAUUCGGGGGCUACCCGAUCAUUCGUAUCUCUUGCGCUUAGCAAGAGAUUCAGUAGAGCUCCAGGGGAGCUGGAUUGUCCAUUAGAGGUUGAGAUAGCGGAUGAUAGGACCGUGAGGGUCGGCAGAGUGCAUAGAGGGUGUUCUCUUCAGUUAUUUGAUGAGCAGUUUUCAGUGGAUCUGGUACCUAUUCCCCUGCGAGGGAAUAAGGUUAUUGUGGGCAUGGAUUGGCUAAGCCCCAAUGGGGCGGUGAUUGAUUGUGAGCUUCAGCUAGUGAGGGUUCGCACUCCCAGUGGGGGAGAGUUAGUGAUUCAGGGCGAGAGGCCACAGCGAGGACCGACCUUUUGUUCCGCCGCAAGGGCGAGGCGCUAUGUUCAGCAGGGUUGCGCCGGUUUUGUAGCUUACGUUUUGGAUGCCCGGGAGAAGGGCAAGUCGACAGUUGAUGAUGUUCCUAUUGUUCGAGACUACCCGGACGUGUUUCCCGAGGAUUUGCCGGGGAUACCUCCUGAGAGACAGGUUGAGUUCAGGAUCGACCUCAUUCCUGGUGCGGCUCCGAUAGCCAAGGCACCGUAUCGACUAGCUCCCCCUGAGAUGCAGGAGUUGUCUACACAGCUGCAGGAGCUGUUAGACAAGGGUUUCAUUCGGCCGAGCAGUUCGCCUUGGGGAGCGCCGAUCCUGUUUGUGAGAAAGAAGGAUGGGUCGCAUCGUAUGUGUAUAGAUUAUCGGGAGUUGAAUAAGGUAACGGUGAAGAACCGUUACCCACUCCCGAGGAUAGAUGAUUUGUUUGAUCAGCUUCAGGGAGCGUCUUGGUUCUCCAAGAUCGAUCUACGCUCCGGAUAUCAUCAGAUGCGGGUUAGAGAUGAGGAUGUACAGAAGACUGCUUUCAGGACCAGGUAUGGUCAUUACGAGUUUGUGGUGAUGCCAUUUGGGCUCACCAAUGCUCCAGCCGCGUUCAUGGAUCUCAUGAACCGCGUGUGUAGGCCGAUGCUGGAUCGGUCAGUGAUAGUGUUCAUAGAUGAUAUCUUGGUAUAUUCCAAGACGCAGGAGCAGCACGAGGAGCACCUGCGGGAGGUGCUGGAGGUUUUGAGGAGGGAGAGACUUUUCGCAAAGUUCUCCAAAUGUGAGUUCUGGUUGCGCGAGGUGCAGUUCCUUGGUCACCUCGUCAACCAGAAGGGUAUUUUGGUAGAUCCGGCCAAGAUAGAGGCCGUGAUGCAGUGGGAGGUCCCGAAGUCUCCAUCUGAGAUUCGGAGCUUCCUAGGGUUGGCAGGGUAUUAUCGGAGAUUUAUUCAGGAUUUCUCCAAGAUAGCAGUGCCGCUCACCCGACUGACCAAGAAGUCAGUGGUAUUUCGUUGGGGUCCGGAGCAGCAGACAGCAUUCGAGACCCUCAGGCAGAGAUUGUGCGAGGCUCCGAUCCUUACCUUGCCAGAGGGAGUAGAGGACUUUGUAGUCUAUUGUGAUGCCUCGAUCACAGGUUUGGGAGCAGUUUUGAUGCAGCGAGGCCAUGUGAUAGCUUAUGCCUCGAGACAGUUGAAGCCUCACGAGGCUAAUUAUCCUACCCAUGAUUUGGAGCUGGGGGCAGUUGUGUUUGCCCUCAAGAUUUGGAGGCAUUACCUUUAUGGGGUCCGUUGUACUAUUUACACGGAUCACAAGAGUUUGAGGUACCUUAUGGAUCAGCCGAGUCUGAACAUGAGGCAGAGGAGGUGGUUGGAUGUGCUAAAGGAUUAUGAUUGUGAGAUCCUUUACCAUCCAGGGAAGGCCAACGUGGUGGCCGACGCCCUGAGCCGCAAAGUGUCGGCGGCCCCUAUCAGAGAUCUAUGUUUGAGGAUGACAGUGAUCACUCCGUUGUUGGAGCGGAUCAAGGAGGCUCAGGUGGAGGGCCUCAAGGAGGAGAGACAGAAGUGUGAGAGGAUCGUGGGCCGAGUAGCCUCGUUUGAUUAUGAUAGUCGUGGUUUGCUGACGCUUCACGGGAGAGUGUGGGUACCGUACUGGGGUGGAGUACGGCAAGUGUUGAUGGAUGAGGCUCAUAAGUCUCGGUUUUCUAUCCACCCAGGGGCGACGAAGAUGUAUCGAGAUCUUCGACCUGAUUAUUGGUGGCCCUGCAUGAAGCGGGACGUCGCCUGGUACGUUGAGAGAUGCCUGACCUGCCGGAAGGUCAAGGCGGAGCACCAGAGACCUCACGGCAAGAUGCAGCCGUUAGACAUUCCCGUGUGGAAAUGGGAGGACAUCACCAUGGAUUUUGUCACCAAGCUUCCCAGGACCGCACGAGGAGUGGAUUCGAUAUGGGUAGUAGUGGAUCGGUUGACGAAGAGUGCCCAUUUUAUCCCGAUCCAGGAGAGUAUAUCGGCGGAGAAGUUAGCCGAUAUCUAUGUGCGAGAGAUUGUGGCACGUCAUGGAGUGCCGGUAUCGGUGGUGUCAGACCGAGAUGUCCGUUUCACAUCCAGAUUCUGGAAGCGGUUCCACGACGAGAUGGGUACUCGUCUCCAUUUCAGCACCGCUUUCCACCCUCAGACGGACGGGCAGAGCGAGAGGACGAUUCAGACUCUCGAGGACAUGCUUAGGGCAUGUGUCCUAGAUUUCGGUGGCAGUUGGGAUACGUAUCUUCCGUUAGCGGAAUUCUCGUAUAACAACAGUUAUCAUGCGAGCAUUGAUCGACCUCCCUUUGAGAUGCUGUAUGGGAGGAAGUGUAGGACCCCGAUUUGUUGGGGCGAGGUCGGUCAGCGGGUCAUCGGGAGCACGGAGGUGGUGCUCAAGACGACUGAGUUGAUCCAGCAGGUCCGUAGUAGACUGCAGACUGCUCAGAGUCGGCAGAAGAGCUACGCCGAUAGGAGGCGUUCGGACUUGGAGUUCCAGGUGGGGGAUAUGGUCCUUCUGAAGGUCUCACCUUGGAAGGGUGUCAUCAGGUUCCGGAAGAGGGGCAAGUUGGGCCCCAGAUUUAUUGGUCCUUUCAGGGUUUUGGCCCGGGUGGGUCGGGUUGCUUAUCGGUUAGAUCUUCCUGAGGAGCUUAGUCAGAUCCACAACACUUUCCAUGUGUCUCAGUUGAGGAAGUGUUUGGUGGAUGAGUCAGCAGUCGUUCCCCUAGAGGAUAUUCAGGUUGAUAGCAGCCUGAAUUAUAUUGAGAGGCCGGUCGCGAUUCUGGACCGGAAGACCAAGACCUUGAGGAACAAGGUAAUUCAGUUAGUGAAGGUGCAGUGGCAACACCGGAAGGGAUCGGAAUGGACGUGGGAGGCUGAGGAGGAGAUGAGAGAGCACUACCCAGAGAUAUUUGCAGAUUCAGCCGUAGCAGACUUCGAGGACGAAGUCUGAGAUAAGUGGGGGAGAAUUGUAACGACCCGUCUCCGGUAUGAUAAUUCCUUGGUAUUUAUUUUGAAGUUUUGCAAGAGGGACUCGGCGAGUUCAUAGCCUGACUCGCCGAGUAGGGUCGGGAUUUCGAGCACGUGUUAGCUGGCGACUCGGCGAGUCCAUAUUCUGGACUCGGCGAGUCUGUCCGUCUGGGAGAAACCCUAAAUCCCCGGGUUGCCCACUAUUUAAGCCACCUUAUAGCCCCCAAUCUCGCCUCCUUCACCCUCAAAAGCUGUGAGAAAACCCUAAUUCGUUCUUGAGUGAUUCUAAGUGAUUUUGUGUGCUAUUGUGAAGGCUUGAAGAAGGAGAAGAAGAAAGGAGCAAGGAGAAGGAUUGUAGAGCAGAGAUUCAAGGGAAAGCAAGAGCUCUUUGAGGUAUUCUUCAGUUUUCCUUCUCUUUUAUGCCUUAAAACCCUUUCUAGAUCUUGUUAAUGCCUUUCUCAAAGCUUUAUGUUGAUAUGGAAGCUCUCUUAUGCCGAGAUAACCUUAGAUCUGUUCAUUUAGGAGUUGUAGAGCCCAGAUCUAUUGCCUUUAUGGAGCUAUUUUGCAUAUUAACCCUAGAUCUACCCCUUUUAAGCAUCUUUUAGCCUUUAUUCCCUUGUUCAUGUGUUUGUACACGUAAAGUUGGAAACUUUACGUGGUAAAUCAGCUUAUUGGACUCAGAUCUAUCAUUUGUAUGUUUUGGAUUCGAGCAGAAUCGAGUGUAGAAUAGUUGCAUGGCGGUGACUCGGCGAGUCGGAAGAACGACUCGGCGAGUCGAGUCGCGAGUCCCCGAUUUCUUCCUUUUGAGCGGUGUCGAGUGGGACCAGUGAGUAGUGGAGUGGACUCAGCGAGUUUGAGGGUAGACUCAGUAAUGGAGGGACUCGGCGAGUUGUUCAUACAACUCGGCGAGUCCAAGGCAAUCUUCUUAAGCUCAAGAACAACUCGUCGAGUUGUUCAUAUGACUCGGCGAGUCGGAUGAAGAUUGUCUGAGUUCUUGGAUCGAAUGAGUACUCGUCGAGUCGAUGCCAUACUCGACGAGUAGCAGCGAGUAGGGUCGAGGAGUGAGAAUAGGGACUCGACGAGUUGGCGGCCCAACUCGGCGAGUCAGGUUGACCGAGAGUUGACUUUGACCGAGAGUUGACCUUGACCGAAAGUUGACUUUGACCGAGGGUAAAAGAGUCAUUUUACCCAGUACAGUGUUUAGUAUUUGAUUGAGUGUGUUUAUGGACUUGUAGCCGGGGAGAUACCGGAGCAGCAACAGUUAGCUCCCAGAGCCAUACACACAGCAGCCAGUUCACGAGGUGAGUUUCCCUUCAGUAGGAACGGGUCUACGGCCACAAUGCCGGCCCGUUUAAUUAUCAGUAGUUCCGGACUUUGGUCUGAUGCAGUAGUUAGAGUGCUUGAUGUCUUUGUGAUACAAGCAUGUUUGUGUUAUGUGUUCCGGACUCUGUUCCGAUGCAGUAUGCAGUAUAUGUGAUUAUAAUAGUUGUUAUGUUUUAUGUUAUGCCAUGAUCAGUCAGUUCCGGACUUCGGUCCGAUGCAGUCAGUUCCGGACUUCGGUCCGAUGCAGUCAGUUCCGGAUUUCGGUCCAAUGCAGUUAGUUCCGGACUCUGGUCCGAUGCAGGGGACAAGGUCCCAGUCAGUUCCGGACUUCGGUCCGAUGCAGCUAGUUCCAGACUUCGGUCUGAUGCAGUGGGCAAGGCCCAGUAUGUGCUUUAUUUAUGUAUUGUAUGGUAUGUGGUAGUUUGGGGGAGCUCACUAAGCUUCGUGCUUACAGUUUCAGUUUUGGUUUCAGGUACUUCCGCAAGCAGAGGGAAGAGCUCGGGAUGAUGGCAUCGCACACACCACAGCUUCAGCUUUUAUCCUGGAUGAUUUAGUUUUUGAUUUGAUAUGACAUAGAUAUGAUACAGUUUUCCGCACAGUGUUUUGUUAUGUUGAGAUAUAUCACGUAUGGUUUUAUGAUAUGACACUCAGAUUAUGGUUUUUAGUUAUAUCGAAAAAUGAAAUUUUUGGGUCGUAUUUUUGGUCGUUUCAUCUAAUGUAAAUAUGCAUGAAAAAACUCAUCGGUUUCCACUACCUCCUUUUACAUUAAAUCACAAUCACUUAACAUGUAAGCGCAUUGUUACAAAAAGAAUCGAUUUGUCGGUCAUUAAAACGAAGAUCACUAGUUUAAUUGAGAUUAAAAACGAAAUUGAUUUCGUCCUAACAACGUGUAUAUGUAUUUGACAAAUAUAACGUUUUACGGUACGUCAGUACCCAACGUGGACAUGUUAUUUUUUUAUUUGACAUGCAUGCACAUGCUAAAAGAAAUUGUGGAUUUUUGAAGCUAAAAUUUUAAAUUUAUAAAACUUCUUAUAAUAAUGCAUAAAAAUAGACACAUACGCUAAAAAGCUUGCAUUUCCAACUACCACUCUAUUCAAAGUUCACAUUUUAUUAAUAGAUAUUUUGUAUCCAUUUUUUUAACUCAAUAAACAGAGUCUUUAACUCUUUACAAUAUCUAUCAUUUAACCGUCUUCAUGCUCAUAAAGUUUAACUUGUGUUUUGCAAUAUAUAUCAUAAAUAAACAAAAUAUGUCUUGAAAAGUAGAUUUUUUGUUUUCAAAAUAAUCUCUUUGUUUUGUCAUUUGUGUUUUCCAACUAGACAAUAUCCUUAUAUCCCCAUAGGGACCCUUGGUCCUUUAGGCCAUGUGAAGUGCUCCAAAUUAUGGCACCCAUUUAUAGCCAUCAUUAAGCAUGGAAUGACAAGUCACCAUACAGUUCAUCCCAAAACUUUACCACUUUGGAUAAACCAUCCAUCAUUUCCACCUUGUAUGACAUAACUAAAAAUAUAUACCAAAGCAACCAUUAUAAAUGGUAAAGCAUAUAAUAACUUAUUAAUUUUUUAUAUUAUUGAUAUUUUAUAUUAUUAUGAACUGCAACGGUUUUUAUAUAUAUUCUUUGAAAUGUUAUGUUUGGGUGAAUAUCAUGUUAGGAUUUAAGUGCUUCGACAAACAAUAGAACGAUUUCAAACAUAGUAUUAAUGCAAAACGAUCGAAAAACAAGAACACAAUAUUUAACGUGGUUCACAUAAUCAGAAUGAUCAGUUAUAUCCAUGGCUAACACGUAAUAGAUAUUUUAUUGAUUUAUGUCGAAUGACUUACAUACAUUAAGGUUACAUGAAUUCAAUGAAUAUAUACGGCAUAAUGACCUAAAAAUUUUCAAUAAGGUCAAGCUCAAAAAAACACUUACGAAACUGAUCCAAGAUUUGUUUUGAUGUCGUAUAUGAUAUAUGAACUAAUCAACAUAAAAUUUCUUCGUGAGCCGUUACCCCUGACCGACUAGCCCCACAACUUAACAUAUCCAAGUCAAGUACAUGGUAAAUGCCAUCCAUAUAGUAAAAACAUGAUAACCCAUGUAAACGGUCGGUACUUAAUAUGUAGACCUCAAUGUUUCUUAUACACAAGGUGUGUGUGACCACUCUAAUAAUAUGCAAUGAUCUGACGUUACACUAAAAUGCAUUGUCUUCAUUCUUUAUUGGUUACUUCAUUUUAAGUUUAGAUCCAAUAAUUUAAUUUUACGUUCAAGGUCAACAUGAAUAUACCAAAGUUUUUAAAAAAAAUGGUAAUUACAUCAAAAAGACUAUAAUAACAGAAUCCAAUUCCCAGAUAGGAAAAUAGAAAAAUAAUAAUUACAUUAAAAACAAUAUACAAUCACCAUCAAUGUUAAACUACUAAAAGGUGAAUAACAAAUAUAAUUUUGUUAAAUACAAGUUUAAUAUUUACAUUUAAAAUAGAUAAAUUAUUUCUUUUAAAACAACAAAAACAUACAAACUAAUAAAAACAAUAUACCGUAAUAAUUUUUUUGCAGUUACAUAUGUUAAUUUAGAGUAACUGGUUUUAAUAAAUUCGUUUUAUUUCAUUUAUUAAUUGUACGAUUGAAUUAAAACUGUUUAUAGUAAAUUCAUUUUAAAGUCAGAUCUACUUCUUAUACAUAUGUUAUAUGUAGUUUAAUAAAAGAAGUCUUAGAUGAAAACCAAAUAUGUCGUACAGAUAAAAGCUUCAUGAAGGUUGCAAUACAAACUUUAUAAGUGGCAUAAUUAAUUUAUUAUCAAAAAGCAUAACUAUGAGAUAUGAGAUAGUUAAUAUGAUACAUAUAUGUCUAUAAAAAAACUCUUAUACAUCAACUAUUAAUGUAUGAGUCAAACGACAUGAACUAGUUUGAGAGAAAAUAUACAAAAUUAAUUUUUUUUAUAUUACUUUUUGAAUUAUAUAUAUAUAUAUANNNNNNNNNNNNNNNNNNNNNUAUGUAUGUAUAUAUGUAUAUAUAUAUAUAUAUAUAUAUAUAUAUAUUACAACCAAAAAGCAUAAAUAUGAAAUAGUUAAUUUUUUUUAUAUUACCAUUUGAAUCAAAAGAAAAUAAAUAAAUAAACAAAAGUAAAAAAUCUUAAAUAAAAAACUUGAAAUUUUAAAAUAAAAUACAAUAAAAAUUUUAAAAACUGAAAUAAAAGAAAAAGUAAAUAAAUGGAUAUUUAAAGCAAAAAAAAAGUAAGAAAAACAAAAAAAAUAUAUGAAAAAAAAGUAUUAGUUUGGUAAUUAUUUUUCAAACCAUAUUAGAUUGAUAAAUAUUUUUCUCAAUAACUCUAUUUUGAUGAAAGACUCUAAUUAAAUACUAUAAAAGUGAUAUAUUUUUUGAACACGUGGCUAAAAAAAAAUACUGACCUCGAUAAUGACCUUACAAACUAAAUACCUAUUACACAAUGACAUAAUUGAAUUUCAUUAAAAUAGCCACUAGCUAGUUCGAAAAAAGGUUUUUUUGGAAAUAUUAUUUUAGUUUCGAAAUACUAAACUAUUUGUUAGAAAAUGUAACUAAAAAAUAAUAAAAAAUAAAAUAAAACUCAAAGAACAACAUGUAUUGGUUGAUGGUGAUUGAUCGGAGCCUUAAGAUAGAGUCACAGUUAAAUUCCUAAAUUUUAUUUUCAGACUGGUUUCUUUAAAUCCGAUGGUUCUCGACCGGCCACCAUUCAUGAAUUUCUAAAUCGUUUGACCAUCGAUCAAUCUGCAACUUUGGAAUGUGAGGUUACAUGUAUGGAGGUCAAUGGGACGAAACNUUGACAAUUGUUACUUCAAAACUUGCUACAUGCAUAUUCUUAAAAAAACAAUAUUUUACAGUGAUAAAGUGAUUACAAACUACUGGAUACAAACCGAUUAUUUCAAAGUGUUAUAUAUUACAUAACUUCCCAGUAUAGGAGUGCAAAAUACAAUAGUUCAAACUAUUCAUAAUCUUCUAUCAAUACAAUAGUUUCAAAAUAUUCAAAAAUCUUCUAUCAGUAUAUGACUAUACUGGAUGCUUAUCUCCUGCAAUUUGUUAAACAUUAAGAGGGUAAGCGGUGACGCUUAGUGAGUUCAAUAAUAAAUACAAUAUAACGUUAUGCCAUAUAUAUACUUAAAUAUGGCAGAAGUAAAGAGGAACAAUGAACAACAAGGGCAUAUGUGAAUUAUGUGACAAACUUUACAUAUCAAUCAUUGAUUUGAUUCAAAGAUAUACAAUCAAUGAGACAUAACAAUUUCCAUACUUGAUAUACAUCAAUAAAGCUUUGGCCCAAAUGGCACAGAAGACAUACAACUUCGGAUUAACAUUUUGGUAGAUUUCGGGCUUAUAGCCUUGUCUAACCUUCUGCCAAUAUCAUAGAAUAGAAAUCAUUCUCUUACGGAGACAUGUUCUACAUGGCCAGAGGCUACAUACCAGUACCAAUGUGAAUCUAAGUCCUUUCACUGAUCACAUGGUCAAAGAUAUUUCCUUGCUAUUAAAAAUAGCGAAUAAGAAUAACAUGGGAAAAUAACUCGGAAUAAUAACACUGAAAAGCACAUAGCACAUAUAAUACAUAACAUACAAUUGUUCAUAUAUAUUAAACUCACCGUUAAAUAACCGGGGGCUAAAAUAUUAAUUUGGGCAACACUUUGGCUCUAAAUAUGAUUUUCUUCGUUGAAAACCGGAAGUUUUCUUGAUAACCGGGCUCUGCGAAGGUAGAGCUUCAAAACCGAAAAGAUAAAUUUUUCGGGUUUCUCGGGAACUUCGGGACGUGUUUCGGGUGCUAAAACUAAUAUCAGGGCUUCGGGGGAUGUCAAAGUAGUAGAAAUAUGAAAUUAGGGGUGAAAGUGGCAAAAAUUCCAACAAAAACCAGGAGGUCUCGCACCCUUUAUAUAGGUGCGAGCCUCGGAUCCGAAGCAAGAAGAAGAGGGCAGGUUGCUGCGAGGUUCGGAACACAUGGCAGAAGGGGCGAGGCUCGGAUGUGAGAUGGGUGCGUGCCGGCUUCGAAUUGGUCCAACACUUCAGACACGGGGCGAAGUCAGAAACGAGGCGCGUUGUAAGCCUAUUGGACCGCAUCCUCGGUCAAAUCAGCAAGCAACACGCGUCGGACUCAGCGGGUGACUCACCGAGAUUAGCCUUAUCUAUGCGAUGUUUCUCGAAAAUUGUGCCCAAAUCUUCUAAAAUCAAUAACUUUCGCAUAUAAGCUCCGUUUUUGACGUUCUUUAUAUGCACGCGUAGGCGGGAAUAUAUUCUACAACUUUCGUUUAGACUUUGUCGGCUAAUUUUGACUUUAUUUUUAAUAUUAUUAUUUUUAACAGACCGGGACUGGAAAAUCCGUUAAAAAUUCAUAUCUUAUUCAUCCGACAUCCGUUUUCGUCGGACUUUUUACCGUUGUACUACUAUUGAUGACAUCUUCAAUUCUCGUUGAGGUUGUGUCAGCUAAAAAUCACUCGAUCUAAAAUUCGAGUUUUUAGCUGUCUACUGCUAAGCUGAAACUUAGAAAAAUCAUAACUUCCUCAUACGAAGUCAAAUUUUGGCGUUCUUUUUAUCGAACUUCUCGGUUUGACGAAUACUACAACUUUCAUUUAGAUCACUAAGGCUAAAAAGUAGUUUAUCAAAAACUCACUUUUUACGUCAUUCGGCGCCGUGCCGGUUUUGUCACGGAUCUUCGAUUGGUCAUAACUUCUUCGUUAUAAAUGUUUCUAACGAGAGUAUCUACAACUUUCAAUAAUAAAAUUUUACUUAUUCCAAAUUUUAUGUUUUCGUUAAAUUUCACUAUUUGACAUUUGAUUGGAAUCUCAUAAGACUUCCAAUACUUUCUGAAUGAUUCUAAGCAUAUUUUUACUUCAUUUCCAGUAAAAAUCAUCUGUUAGAACUUAACAUUCAAAUCCACAUAACAUUUCGUAAUAUUAUUCACUUUUAUAAUUUACAAUACACGAUAACUGAACGUGUAUGUUACACCUUGCCCCUAAAUUCUUGUGUUACCCUUCAUUACUUCCGUUCCUACACCCCCGAUUGAUUUUGGGCUAAAAGUACUUAUUUUUUAGGCUAAAAGAUGCUAUUUUUGGAAUAAAAGUAAUUAUUUGUAGCAAAAUUUUACAUGUUAAAAACAAAAUUGUUGUGGUAUCUCAAAAACAUUAUAUUAACAACUUAAAAACUUGAUUUUAGUUUGAAAUUUGGUAGCUCAAAAUCAUGAUAUUAUUUAUUAUAUUUAUAUAUUUAAUAUAUAGAAAUAUAUACUUAAUGAGACCCCCAUAGGGGUUUUGGGAUGAGAUUGCCCACCCCCGCCCUAACUUUUUUUUAAACAAAUACAUCCAUAUGAGAUUAGGGUCCCACAAGACUUUUUGAUAUCCAUAAUUGCAUGUGAAGAGAUUAAAAGAGCAUUGUGAUAUUGUGGUAUUGAUAAGUCUUCAGGUCCAUAUGGAUUUACUUUUGAAUUCAUUAGGAAGUUUUGAUAUCUAAUUGAGAUUGAACCUGACAUAAUUGUUGUGGUAAUGAAAUAUUUUAUUCUAGUAGGUUUCCAAAAUGGUGUAAACCUUCUUUUAUUGCUCUCAUUAUGAAAGUUUGUGAUGCUUAGUGUGUUAAAGAUUUCAUAUGAUUAAUCUAAUAUUCUUUCAAUAUAAAAUUGUUGGCAAAAUAUUAUAAAUAUGUUGAUAUUCGUUAUGGUUGGGUUGGCGAGUACUGAGCAGUUAAAUUUUAUUUAAGGGAGGCAAGUUUUAGAUUGUGUGAUGAUAAUGUAUGAGAUGGUGGUUUGGUGUAAGGCAAAGAACAUGAGAGUUGUGAUUUUCAAAUUUGACUUUGAAAAAACUUAUGAUUCGGCUUAUUGGCAUUUUCUUUGUAGGAUGGGUUUUGGUGACAAAAAGAGGAGGUGGAUUCAAAGGUGCUUGAAGUCUUCCAAAGGCUUAAUUCUAGUGAAUGGUUAUGCCACCGGUGAAUUUCAGAUUUUUAAGCGUCUUUGCCAGAGUGACCAUUUCUCGCCUUUUUUUGGUUCAUAUAGGCGAUGUAAAGCUUAAAUGUACCUAUUCAAGGUGUCAUUGAUCAAAACAUUUUCUUGUAUUCCUAUGAGUGAUGUCUCUUCCCUUGUUGUCUCUUAUUGGUAAUGUAAAUCUUACAUGUAGCUUUUCAAGGCGUUCUUGAUCAGAACCUUUUUCUAUUUUUUGAUGCUAGGAAUAAGAAAAACACUAAUUGGAUAGGGUGACUUUCAAAACCAUGGACUUGGUACUUCUUGAUGUAUUAUUUAGCUCCUUGCUAGUCAUUUUAAAAUUUUUAGUUCAAAAGAAGAAAAAUAAGGAGAAAAAGAACUAGUUCAAAAUAUAAAAAAAAUCGUUCGACAAUCAUCACUAGAACUACUUUGAACGUUGUACAAAGAAGAACCAUUUUGAGAAAGAAGAGGCAUUUCAAAAUUUUAGAAGAACUGGUAUUUAAGUCAUCACGUGCAUUACAACAAGGAACUCUUUGCAAUUAAUAAAGACGAAAACUAUAAAAAAAAUUAUGUAAAGAAUCAAAAUUUGACUUUAAAAUAUAGUAAUGAAUAAAAACAACAACUUAUAAAAUACCAAUAAUUUAAUUUUAAAACUAUGAAUGAUGAAACCGUUAGAUCAAAAUUUAUUGAUGAAAGUGUAAAUAUAAAAAUAGGCUAUGAUCAUAUGCUAAAUCUUGAUUUCAAGAGAGAUUCUUAUUUUGCAUAUUGUAUUAUAUGUUUGAAAAGUUGUAAUAUUAUAUGUUUUUAGCAAUUUUGGGUCUACAAAUAGAAAUUAAAAUGAACAAUUAUUUUUGUAUGUUGCAUAGACUUUCAAAAUUAACAUGUAUGUAAUAUGUAUUUGCGUGUUAAUUUUACAUGGUUAAUAAGUUAGACAAUAAUUGUAUGUUAUUAUUAAUGCAUUCAUUCAAAUCAACAUCAGAUGAUAGGUGUCAUCGCUUAGGGUUUGUGAAUUGAUAUUUGCAACGUUAGCUUUAGCCUUAUACCUACCCUUACCGCUUCAAAACCCUCGAGUUUGAUGAUUUGGUCGGUAUAAGAGCCAAACAGUUUAGGCGAGUAUGACCUUAUUCUUGGUAUAUAGUUUACUGUGUCGUUUUAGUAUUGGACCUGUGUCUUGUGAAUGUAUGCAGUAGUGCUCUUUAGGAUGGCUAGCUUGUCUUUUGUCCAUAAGCGGGGGAUUAACGAUUGUUAUUUCGUCGGUUUCUUUUCAUUCAAAGGAUGUGGUAAAGGAUUAAUUGUCACACUAUAUGCAUUAAUUAUACCUCUCUAUGGAGAACUAUGAUGUAAUUGAAGCAUGCCAAUACAAUUUUCCAGAAAAAAAUACAAGUUAUGAUUAUAUANAUAUAUAUUGCAAUAUGAAAUGUCUUUUUAGCCAAUCUUUUUCGUAAAUCAAUGAUAUAAUUCUUGCAAAAGUAAUAUAGUUCAAGUUUAUACUUUGAGAUAGAUAACAUUUGCGUAUACACCGGUUAUUUUACGAUUUUCGAAGUUAAAAGGGUCAUUAUGUAAUAUAUUUGAAGUAUUUAAGGUCAUUUGGAUGGUAUCUUCUAUAAAAACAAAAGAAAAAAAACAAUAACGUUGGUUUCUGUUUUGUCGAGAAAAGUAGUAAUUUCCAUAAUGAUAACAUAACACAACUUGUAAUGGGUGGAGUACAUGUCUUUAAAGCUGUAUACAUGUGGAUAUGACAAUUGUCAAAUCUGGGCAUGGAUAAAGGGGUAUACGUUAUUAAAUGCCAAAAAAAAAAAACAGUACAAUGGUUUAAACAUAAGGACUCUUUUGUCUUUUUGACCAAAUAUGGGCAUUUGAUUUCCAGCUCACUAGUCACUCCCUACCACAUCCACAGGUUUAAAAACUAACCCUAGUUGAAGUUUCAAAUUAACCAUGGUUAAGUUAAAUCCCUAUUAAACUCUCUUCUCGGUGUUGUAACUCCAUAAGUUCAUAACCUCCCCACUCACUCGAUACACUCGAUAGUAUACACUCAGUUUCAGGUUCCACUGCUUUUUGCUAAAGUGCGCCACCAUGGGCGCAUUACGCAUCAUCUUCCUCGUCGUCUCUCUUCUUUCCGCCGGCUCCGUCGUCUCCGCCCACAACAUCACGGCUAUCUUGUCGCAGUUUCCUGAGUACAGCGAGUUCAACAGCUACCUCUCACAGACAAAGCUCAGCGACGAGAUCAACAGCCGUGAAACGAUCACCGUUCUGGUGUUGAACAAUGGCGUCGUUUCGUCACUUGCCGCGAAACAUCCACUCUCCGUCGUCAAAAGCGUCUUGAGCCUCCAUAUCCUUUUAGACUACUACGACAACAAGAAGCUUCACGCCAUUUCCGACGGCACCACGCUCUCCACCACCUUGUACCAAACCACCGGAAAUUCCCCAGGAAACGUCGGAUUUGUUAAUAUUACAGAUUUGAAAGGAGGUAAGGUUGGAUUCGGCUCCGCCGUGUCCGGUUCGAAGCUCGAUUCUUCGUACACCAAGUCUGUUAAACAGAUUCCGUAUAACAUUUCGGUUUUGGAGAUCAACGCGCCUAUAAUCGCACCGGGGAUUCUAACAGCGCCUGCUCCAUCGGCUGAUGUUAAUAUUACUGGUUUGUUGGAGAAAGCAGGUUGCAAGACGUUUGUGAAGCUGAUUACUGAUACCGGAGUGCUGAAGGUUUUCCAGACGGCGGCGGAGAAGGGAUUGACGGUGUUUGCUCCGAACGAUGAAGCGUUUAAGGCCGCCGGUGUACCGGAUCUGAGCAAGUUGUCGAAUGCUGAGCUUGUUGCACUGUUACAAUACCACGCUCUCGCUACUUACACUCCGAAAGGCUCGUUGAAAACAACCAAGGAUCCGAUUAGCACACUGGCGACGAACGGCGCCGGAAAGUACGAUCUGACCGUUGAGACCGCCGGAGAUUCCGUUACACUUGAUUCUGGAUUUUCCACUUCGCGUGUUGCUAGCACGGUUCUCGAUUCGACGCCUCUCUGUAUUUUCACCGUCGACAAUGUACUUCUCCCCACUGAAUUGUUUGGUAAAUCUCCAUCUCCAGCUCCAUCUCUUUCACCGGAAACUUCUCCGGCGUCGUCUCCUGCACCUGCUGCUCUAUCUCCGGAACCUGCAGCAGCACCUUCCCCAUUCCUUUCUCCUCCCGCUCCUCCGACUUCAUCUCCCACCGCCGGUCCUGCUCCGUCAGAUGGCCCCACCGCCGACUCCCAAAAUAGCAAUGCUAGCAACGCCGUUGACAGCGUCAAAGCUCCGUCGGUUGUCCAUGCCACAUUUACGCUGUUGGUCUUGAUUAUGUCAUACGUUAUGCUUUGAAUCUGAUUUUCGAUUGUUUGCGCUCUUUUUGUUUA
rnacentral:lncRNA from 1 species